GAAUACAGAGAAUGAAAUAAAAAUACAGGAGAUGAAAGAAAAAAUAAAGGCAGCCAAAGGAAAAAUAAAGAACAAAGAAAAUAGCAAAAUACCAAAGAACGAAACCAAAAUACUGGAGAGUGAAGUAAAACCAGGGAACGAAAUGGAAAUUCGUAAGAAUGAAAUAAAAAUACAGGAGAUCAAAGAAAAAAUACGGAAGAACAAAUUAAGAAUACAGGAAAACAAAGAGAAAAUACCAAAGAGUGAGGAAAUAACAGAGAACAAAAUAAAAAUACGUAGGAAAGAAGAAAAAAUACAGGAGAUUGAGGAAAAAAUGUGGAAGAUCAAAGACGAAAUGCGGAAGAUUGAAGAAAAAAUACAGAAGAACAAAAUAAGAAUACAGGUAAACGAUAAAAUACCCAAGAAUGAAGAAAAAAUACAGAAAAAUAUGGAAGAAUGAGAGAAAACUACAGAAGAAUGAAGAAACAAUAUCAACUAAAAACCUAAAAAAACCCCAAAACCAUUAAUAAAAUGCUGACAGUCAGCUUUGCCACUGUCAUUUCUCCAUGCUGAGUGCCAGACUGGCAGGUGGAUGGAUGAUCUCCCUGUGUGGGGAUGCACUCACGGCCCCUCCUGGGGCAGGAUGCUGGGCUGGCACGAGGGCAGGGGAUAAAUCCCACAGCCUGCAGCAGGCUGGCCAUCCCUGCAAGGAGCAGGCAUCUGGACAAGGGGCAAAAAGCCACGUUUUGGGGGUGCCAUGAGGUGGCUCGUUUUCAGGGUUGGCUGCACCUCCUGCCCUGUCAGUGCCGGCCACUGGGUUUUGGGGGUGGGAUUUGCCAGGUCAGACUCAUCACGGCCCCUGGGCUUUCUUCAUGGGGAUGGAGAGAAAUGGGGCUCCAUGGAGAGUGAUCUUGUCCCCAAAGCAGGAUCUCCAAUGGCUGAUCCUGUUGUAAAUGGGAUCCACAGGUUCCUCCUAGGGCAGUAAGGGGGGGGUUGGAUGCUGAAUUUGGUGACGGAUCAUCUGAAAGUGUUGUCUGCAACUGCACAGCCCCCCUUGGAGCAGCGUUUUGGGGAUGCUGCAGCCCACUCUGCCCCAGCAGCCAGACCCAAAAAUGUUCCAGUAAAAAAGCACCUGUCCAGGGGUUGGGUCAGUGGCAGCAGUGGGACACAGUUCCACCUCCAGCUCAGCAACCACAGGUUUUUGGGUAUUCCCCCAAGAUCUCACCAGGUCAGCUCACAGCACCUUCCUAGGAUGGAUUUGCCCCUAAAUAUCAGAUUUGCUUCGAAUGGCAGAUGGAAAUGGGGGACUGUGAGAAUCCCACCUCAGUUCCUCUGCUUGGUUGAUUCCAGGAGCAGUUUUGCCAGCCCAAGCUGGCAUCAGGCCAAAGUCAGAAGCUUUUGCCUGAUGCCAGGGUGCUCCAUGGCUCUGCCCUGGCCGGGUGAGCUGGGGUGAAGCAGAGCUGUAGGGCUGCUCCCCUCCUGCCCCAGGCUGCCUCAUCCUGCCUGGGAAAAGCCCUUCUCUUGAGGAUGUCACUGACUGUCACACACCAGGAGCUACCAGAGCCCAGCGUGGCCACCAACCUGCAGCCACCUUGUGCAGGUGAAGGCGAGAGGGAGAGGGCUCAGCUGGCAAAGUCCCUGCACUUCCUUCAUUUGAGUGUCGCGCUGGGACACAGCGCUCGGAAGGUGGCUUUGCUGGCACCCGGGGGCCACACAGCUGGGAACACUUGAAAACAAAAGCCAGCAAAAUCCAGCCCGUGCUUGGCAGCCUAUUUGGCUUAGUGGGAGUUAUUUGAAGUUAGCCCAGUGUGAGAGCUGGCUCUGCUCCUCCAUCCAUUGCAGGAUGAGGGCAGAGGGGAGCAGUGGAGCUGGGUUAGGGCUCGCUUCCCCUUCCCACACCCUUGGGAGCUCUCCGGAGAGUCAUUUUUUGCACAAGGAAAACCUCCUCCCAGGCUUGGAUUUUACCAUUCUGCACAGUCCACCAUGAAACAAGCAUUUCAUAAAAGAGCCCUAUGGUCCCCAUGUCCAUGCAGCAAGUUAAACAAGGAGGAGGUUUGUCUUUGGGCACAGGGACAUCUCUGCCUGUGUGAUAACCCCAGCAGCUCCUUGCUACUGCAGCCCCUCUCCCUCAGCAGAAAUUCCCUCAUUGCCACAUUUUAAGCCUUUUACCACCAAAGCUCUCAGUCUCUGGGUGCUGCAUUAAGUGCUUGCAGUCCCUUGCUUCUGUAGUGGGCAGCACAUUUAAGUCUCACCGCUUCAAGCAACAAAUGCCAUUUAAAUGUCCCCAGCUCAGCAGAGCGAGGCCGGGGUGAGCUGAGCUGCUGGGACACCUCUCACUCCUUCCCAGCAGUGUUCUUGCUCUCCACUGCUUCGAGGAGAACAAAAGUUCUUCCUCAGUCCAUGUGGAGGAGCUGCUCCAGUUUUUAAUUGGAUACAGUCUGCUUGCUCCCAUGUGGCCACAGGCACUGCUCCAAAUCCCGGCUCUGCCUGCACAGUGUGCUCAGGCCCUCUCCUUGCAUGCAACCUGACUCAGCUGCCUCCCUCCAAAGCUGUGCAUCCCCCAGAACUUCAGCUCUGUCUUUCCCAACAGAUGAUCCUCUCCACCAGCAAAUGCUGCUGCAGAGAACUAAGUCAGGUCGGACUCUACUCAUCCCUGUUUGGAGAUAAGCAAAAGACCACUGAAAUAUCUUCCAAGGAAGCUGUGGACAAAGAGGAGACAAUAUUGCAACUACAACCCUGUGAGCGUAGAGCAAAAAGGGGAGCUUCAUGCCUCUCAUGCACAACUCUUCAGCCCAGUUGACCUUUUUUCCCCCCAAAGACUGAUGCUGUUGACACAUCUUUGCCUGACAAACCCUCAGGAGGCCCAGGUCAUUACUGUAGAGACUGUUGCCCCCUUCAUAUUGCUGCAGCUUUGUGUUGCAGUUAGCACCUACCUUUAGAAAACAAAAAAAACCCGAGGGCAAUUGUCCAGCCCUUUCUCCAACCUGCCACAAUUCUUUCCCAGUCCUGCUUCUGCCUUCCUGAGCACUCAGUGCUGAUUCCAGCUUGAUACCAUCAGAAGCACUGGGGGCUCACUCCCCCUUCCAGACCUCUGCUGCCAGCAGAAGCACCAAAUUGGACUUGAUGCAAGACUAAAGCCCCUGGACCCUCAAAUUAAUUCUGCUUCACAGGGUGGGAUAAUCACUGAAAUUAGUUCAAGGUAUUUUUUUCUCCUGACCAGCACAGGCUGGAGAGAAUCUGUCACCUGCAAAUUUUGUCCCAAGGAUUAGAUAAGCUUUUUAGGGCACAGAUCCCCAAACUCCUCUUUUUCUUGCAACUUAGAGGCACUGUUUUGCAAGAGACAGCAGAGGAGCAACAUCCCACAUGCUGUUGGUGCUUUCAGGACACUGCUGUGGCUCCCAGAGUUUAUCAAUGAACUCCCUGCACUGGAGCAGCAGUUUCCCACAGGCCCAGAGCACCCAGUGCUCUGUAACACCAGGGCAGCCACAGCUCUGGCUGCCAUCCCGAGGGGAGCAAAGAGAAAUCUCAUCUAGCAAAGAGAGAGAAAUAACGUGAGCAGGAGGUGCUUCUGCCUCCUAAGCAGUAUCUCCAAAUAUCUUUAACUACUGCAAAAGCAAGUAAACAAUGAUAAAUAUUGUUAUCUUGAGGGAGGCUGUUGACACCAACGUGCUUGACUUUGCAGGCUGAGUGCUGGCAGGGGCCAACAGCAGCUCAGUGGAGGGGCAGUCCUGCUGCUAAGGCACUGUGACCCCCUCUGCUCGACUUUGCAGGAGACUCUGCAAGGAUAAGGGAUGAAGCUGGACUCAAACAGUGUCUGAGCACUCAGCUGAUUCAUAUUGCAGAUAGAAAAAGCUUUCACUGAAGAUUUGCUAACAGAAAGUCAAAAGUGCCACCCCAGCAAGGGAAACUGUGCCACCUCUCCCUAGGUCUUUUGGCAGUGAAAUUUGUUUUCACAUUUACUAGUUCUGGCAUUCAAUGCAAAUCAAACCCAACAGAAAAGAAGUUUUUGCUUGCUCCUUCCUUUGUUUUUUUCCUCUUCCUCCUCCCUGAACCAUUUUUUCCCCAUAUUCUCUCUCUGGUUCAUUCUUCAUGAACCAGCAGAAAGCUGGGUCUGUUAAGGAAUUUUACUGCCUUGGAAGAAACUCUGCAAAUCUACAUAAGCAGAAAAUCUUGUCACGUCUCCUCACAAAUUGAAAAGGAGAGCUAAAUGAAAUCCCACUGGGAUGCUCUGGCUACCUCAGUGCAACAAGGUUCAGCUUAAGCUGCUUGUUUCACUUGCUGCAUUGCCUGGUUUUAAUCCAAUUUGGUUCGGGACACAUAAAACAGCCGCUUUUCCGCCCUCCAGGAAGCAGCGGGUGCAACCAGAGCAGAGCAAAGUGCUGGCUGGUCCUGCCUCAUGUGCACACACCCCAAGCUGUGCUCACUUCUUGGCUUGUGCUUUAGCACUACGUUUUCUCAUCUGCUACAUUUUUGGUUGUGUUUGUCAAAAUGUCACCCGAGUCACUACCAACCAACAGCUCAAGUGCGACGGGUGGUGCUACGGCAGCAAAGCCCCCGUGAUGCAGAGGCCAGGAGCUGGCUGCUUGCUCACCCACUCUUGGUCACCCCAUGGAUUACCACAGCCUAACACCACAUCAUCCCUGUUAGGGAGACAUGGAGGACAGCCCUCCUCUGAUGGCUCUGACUCCAGCUUCCCCUUCCCCACCAGCUGCCCCUCUGACACCACACCUCCCCAGGGAGCAGCAGGGGCUGCAUUGUUUCCAUCCAAGCAGCCACCACAGCCAGCUCUGUCCAGCACUGUGCUGUCCCCCAGGCCUGCUUUUACAGGAAUUAAAAUUAAAAAAGGUGCUGCCCUGCAACAGCCUGGAGAGAAAAAUGUUAAGUGCCCGUGCACAGCUCUGAGCAAGGCCUGGGCUGCAGGAGCCCCAGCACUGCCUGGCUUUACCUUCACCUCACCCCAGACUCUGCAGGAGCUGCCGAGGGGCCGCCCUGCUCCACGAGAACAAAAUCUUCCCAGAGACAGAGGCAGAAAUAGCCACAGAGUGGCUUCAUGCCUAAAACACCAGCAAAGCAGCUCAGCCUCUCAUGACAGCUGCCCUGCACAGUGAAGAGACACUGAUUUGUUCCUUCCUUCCAUCCCAGAAUCUGCCCCUUUGACUCCAGACAGAGAUGAGCAAAUAUUUAAUUAACACAUUUGACCUUUUAUUAGCACUCCAUGCUGAUGGCUUCCUGCACACCAGCUAGGUGUGCUUUCCUGCAGCCUGCUGCAAACCUGGAAAUAGAAUGGUGUUACAAGGUUUCUUCACAUAUCUUUGAACAUUUUCUGAAACUCUGGAUUUGAAAACUGAGAACAUGAAAGAGUCAUCUUCCAUUAUUAUUUUAAUAGCAUU